rnacentral:tRNA from 1 species
AGUUUAUCACCGUUGCUUUGAAAGCAAUAAAAAGAAAUGUUUCUAUAAACUU